rnacentral:tRNA from 3 species
CGCUAAGAAGCUGAAUUAGGAGAUAGCGUUAGCCUUUUAAGCUAAAGAAUGGUGACUUCCAACCACCCUUAGUGA